rnacentral:rRNA from 1 species
GACGGAGCACGUGAAAUUCCGUCGGAAUCUGGGAGGACCAUCUCCUAAGGCUAAAUACUCUCUAGUGACCGAUAGUGAACCAGUACCGUGAGGGAAAGGUGAAAAGCACCCCGGAAGGGGAGUGAAAUAGAACCUGAAACCGUGUGCUUACAAGUAGUCAGAGCCCGUUAAUGGGUGAUGGCGUGCCUUUUGUAGAAUGAACCGGCGAGUUACGAUUUGAUGCAAGGUUAAGCAGUAAAUGUGGAGCCGUAGCGAAAGCGAGUCUGAAUAGGGCGUUUAGUAUUUGGUCGUAGACCCGAAACCAGGUGAUCUACCCUUGGUCAGGUUGAAGUUCAGGUAACACUGAAUGGAGGACCGAACCGACUUACGUUGAAAAGUGAGCGGAUGAACUGAGGGUAGCGGAGAAAUUCCAAUCGAACCUGGAGAUAGCUGGUUCUCUCCGAAAUAGCUUUAGGGCUAGCCUCAAGUGAUGAUUAUUGGAGGUAGAGCACUGUUUGGACGAGGGGCCCCUCUCGGGUUACCGAAUUCAGACAAACUCCGAAUGCCAAUUAAUUUAACUUGGGAGUCAGAACAUGGGUGAUAAGGUCCGUGUUCGAAAGGGAAACAGCCCAGACCACCAGCUAAGGUCCCAAAAUAUAUGUUAAGUGGAAAAGGAUGUGGCGUUGCCCAGACAACUAGGAUGUUGGCUUAGAAGCAGCCAUCAUUUAAAGAGUGCGUAAUAGCUCACUAGUCGAGUGACACUGCGCCGA